UACGGAGGGAGCUAGCGUUAUUCGGAAUUACUGGGCGUAAAGCGCACGUAGGCGGCUUUGUAAGUUAGAGGUGAAAGCCCGGAGCUCAACUCCGGAAUUGCCUUUAAGACUGCAUCGCUUGAAUCCAGGAGAGGUGAGUGGAAUUCCGAGUGUAGAGGUGAAAUUCGUAGAUAUUCGGAAGAACACCAGUGGCGAAGGCGGCUCACUGGACUGGUAUUGACGCUGAGGUGCGAAAGCGUGGGGAGCAAACAGG
rnacentral:rRNA from 1 species